rnacentral:rRNA from 1 species
CCUACGGGAGGCAGCAGUGAGGAAUAUUGGUCAAUGGGCGAGAGCCUGAACCAGCCAAGUCGCGUGAAGGAUGACGGCCCUACGGGUUGUAAACUUCUUUUGUCAGGGAGCAAUUGGCUCCACGCGUGGGCUUAUCGAGAGUACCUGAAGAAAAAGCAUCGUCUAACUCCGGGCCAGCAGCCGCGGUAAUACGGAGGAUGCGAGCGUUAUCCGGAUUUAUUGGGUUUAAAGGGUGCGUAGGCGGAAUAUUAAGUCAGCGGUAAAAAUUCGGGGCUCAACCCCGUCGGGCCUUUGAAAUUGAUGUUCUUGAGUGCGCGAGAAGUAUGCGGAAUGAGUGGAGUAGCGGUGAAAUGCAUAGAUAUAACGCAGAACUCCGAUUGCGAAGGCAGCAUACCGGCGCCAAACUGACGCUGAAGCACGAAAGCGUGGGUAUCGAACAGGAUUAGAUACCCCGGUAGUC